rnacentral:rRNA from 1 species
ACGACUCUCGGCAACGGAUAUCUCGGCUCACGCAUCGAUGAAGAACGUAGCAAAAUGCGAUACUUGGUGUGAAUUGCAGAAUCCCGUGAACCAUCGAGUUUUUGAACGCAAGUUGCGCCCGAAACCAUUUGGUUGAGGGCACGUCUGCCUGGGCGUCACAC